rnacentral:misc_RNA from 1 species
UCUCCGUUGGUGAACCAGCGGAGGGAUCAUUACAGGACUCGCAAGACUCCUUCACCCUGUGAACCUCACUACAAGCACGUUGCUUCGGCGGGUGUCCCGGCGGGGGUUUUCCCUCGCCGGGGCGCACAGCCCGCCGGCAGCCUACUAUACUCUGUCUCUUUGCGUUGGCAUCUCGAGAAAAAACAAACAAGUUAAAACUUUCAACAACGGAUCUCUUGGUUCUGGCAUCGAUGAAAAACGCAGC